GCGAGUAACACGUAAGAACCUGCCCUGCACUCAGGGAUAACCUCAUGAAAGUGAGGCUAAUACCGGAUGGUCUCGAAAGAGUAAAGAUUUAUCGGUGCGGGAGGGGCUUGCGGGCUAUCAGUUUGUUGGUGAGGUAAAGGCUCACCAAGACGAUGACGGCUACCGGGUGUGAGAGCAUGACCCGGCGCGAUGGGACUGAGACACGGCCCAUACUCCUACGGGAGGCAGCAGUAAAGAAUCUUCCACAAUGGCGAAAGCCUGAUGGAGCGACACCGCGUGAUGGAUGAAGGCCUUCGGGUUGUAAACAUCUUUUCUCUGGGAAGAAGAUCUGACGGUACCAGAGGAAUAAGGACCGGCUAAUUACGUGCCAGCAGCCGCGGUAAUACGUAAGGUCCGAGCGUUAUCCGGAAUUAUUGGGC
rnacentral:rRNA from 1 species